GCGGCGCUCGCCGCACUGGUUGUUCAGCACCUUCGGUCCGGUUGAGGUUGUCAAGUCGGACCAAACAGGUUGUUUCUCUGCAGUUUCCAUUACGAAAGAUGAGUAUUUAGUACUCCAUUUGUGCUGUUUUCCUUUUGUGGUAUCAUUCAGCCUUGUGGCUUCAAACAUUGUACUGAAGAUUCUCAGACUUAUUACUACAUGGCAGGGAGGUUUAAUAGACAUGGAUAAGAAGUCCACUCACAGAAAUCCUGAAGAUGCCAGGGCUGGCAAAUAUGAAGGUAAACACAAACGAAAGAAAAGAAGAAAGCAAAACCAAAACCAGCACCGAUCCCGACAUAGAUCAGUGACGUCUUUUUCUUCAGAUGAUCCUAUGUUUCCUUCUUCCUCAUCAUCGUCUUCAGGAAGCCAGACAGAUUCAAGUAUUGAAGAUGCUGCCAAGGGAAAAAUUAAGAAGAAGAGAAGAGAGAAAACAAAUAAAUGGGAAAAAAGAAAGGACAAAAUAUGAAACACCAAGAAAAAGAGAAGGAAAAAAAGGAGGAAACAACCACAUAUGUCACCUUUCCAAGGCCACAGGAAAUGGAGUCUGAAAUAAAGCCACUGUAUCUAAAACAUUUAUUUAAUGGUAAAACUUGAUGAUUAAUAGUAUUAUUAGCGUUUUAAAGACUAUAUGUUUAGAGUUUGAAGUAAAGCUCCAGUGUUAAUUUAACUUACUUUUCAAGGCUUAACGUGUUCUCAUCUAAAAACAAUGAUGUCCAAAA
rnacentral:lncRNA from 1 species